UCCCCGCAAAAAAACAGCCGCUACCCACGAAGUUCACGAACACACGUCCCACGUCUCCAUCCUCGCAACCUCCUCGCCCCGAUCCAGUAUUCCCCGUCUCCCUCCUGGUCUCCCGAGAAAAAUCGGUCGCCGCUCGUCUGCAUCAUGGCCGCGGAUGAAGCUUCUUCAUUCCCCUACAAGCUGCUAGCUCCACCUCUGCCAACACCACAGUCGCCGCUUCAAUGGGCUUGUACUCUGAGUCAGAUCACGAGUUUGAUGAGGGCCUCAACCUGGUCCGCCGUUCAUGUAUCAUCACGAGCGACGCGGUUGUGCAUAGCUCUUCUCCUACCUUGAUGCCGCUGGGAUCCACAACCCGGCGGAAAGGAGUAGCAGCGCCAUGCACAGGUUGGACCACUCCCGGAUCCGGGGCCGCUUGCACAGCCAGGACGGGCUGACCACUGUGGGCAUCUUCCUCCACCACUUGUGAUGAGUGGCCGAGCCAUGGAGCGGAGGCGACAGGGAGUAUUGACUAUCUGAUCGAGGAGGCCAAGGUGCGCAUCGUGGCCUGGGCCUCUGCAUCUCCACCGUCUCCCUUCCCCGUUAGAUUGCUUUGGUUGGAAUUGGAUCCUCAUGUAGUUUCAUGCUGAUUUGAGCUAAGCACUAGGGGUUUUUCUGCGAGGAUGUAUUCGGGAGAUAUUUUUGGGUGGCUGCUACUGGAUGCAGUUGUUGAGAGGUGGUGCAGAUAUUGAAGGAGUCUCAACAUUGAUGGUUACUUGCUGCCGAGAUUUGUGAAAUACUUAAGAACUACAAGAAUUUUCAUACAGAUCCAUUUUAGGCAAACGGAUGGAGUGCUUUGUUUUUGUAUCAUACAUUUUUAAUGGCUUAGAUCGAGUUCGUCCUCCGCCACACUGACCACGACCCAAUGACAUGGUAGUGGAGACGGCGACAGAUGUCAAGGAGGAGCAGAGAGUACAAGAAGCUAUACAACCUACUGAAGGCGAGGGAUUAUGAGAUAGAGCGAAUUAAGACAAAAUUUGGGUUGCCUUUCCUCAUGACCGCAGUGCACCACUGUGUGCAUGUCACUCGGCCUCGAUUCAGUAGCAGGGGCAGAACAGCAGUGUGGCGGUGGCGAUGGGGAAUAACGUUUGACCUUAGUGACGGGUCACGGCAGCACACUGGUUCAAGAUAUGAGAAUUAGUGUUACUUCCUUUCUAUUCUUCUGCGGCUGGUGAUGGAUCUAUCAUUCUCCCUCUUAACUGUGAAUAAAUAUGGCAAAGUGGUAAUAUAAUAUACUUUUUUAUGA